GAUGAACGCUGGCGGCGUGCCUAAUACAUGCAAGUCGAGCGAACGGACGAGAAGCUUGCUUCUCUGAUGUUAGCGGCGGACGGGUGAGUAACACGUGGAUAACCUACCUAUAAGACUGGGAUAACUUCGGGAAACCGUAGCUAAUACCGGAUAAUAUUUUGAACCGCAUGGUUCAAAAGUGAAAGACGGUCUUGCUGUCACUUAUAGAUGGAUCCGCGCUGCAUUAGCUAGUUGGUAAGGUAACGGCUUACCAAGGCAACGAUGCAUAGCCGACCUGAGAGGGUGAUCGGCCACACUGGAACUGAGACACGGUCCAGACUCCUACGGGAGGCAGCAGUAGGGAAUCUUCCGCAAUGGCGAAAGCCUGACGGAGCAACGCCGCGUGAGUGGUGAAGGUCUUCGGAUCGUAAAACUCUGUUAUUAGGGAAGAACAUAUGUGUAAGUAACUGUGCACAUCUUGACGGUACCUAAUCAGAAAGCCACGGCUAACUACGUG
rnacentral:rRNA from 1 species